CGCGCUUCCCCGAAUGCGUGAAGUCCCCCUGAUUUGGCGGGCUAUUUCUAUAAUCAGGCGCACAUUUGUAACUCUGUGCUCUUCCCCUCCUGUCCGGCUACCACCACCACCUUUACAUUUCCAAACCCCUCACCCCUCCCCGAGACCAUCCAUCCAAACCCACCGUUCUUUUGAGCAGGGUCCUUGAAUCCUGAAUGCAAACACCAAAUAUUUUACCCUCCGACAACAACAGGGAGAGGACGCGCAACGGACUGACUUUCUCCAUCCUGGCGAAGGAGGAGAGACUGUAGGCUGCCCUGUCCCCCUUUCUGCUCAAAUCAUGUAUUCAAACAGAGUUUAUAAAGACACAGAAAGCAAGAAAUAUUGCAGUGUCGAACAAGGACGUGACUGCAAACUGAGGAAUCUUACUGACAGAAAAGCGACGCUGGAAGAGGAGGGAGUGAUGUGAAGGAGCUGUUGCUGCAGCAGAGACCAGGCACACCGCAUGGGGAAACCCGGGAGCUGUCCAGCAGCAAUGGAGAGAACAAUGACAACAUGAGUGAAGAUGGAAACGGGGUGACUUAGGAGCUCAGGUGGACUUGACUGCUGCUGCUGGAGCCUUCAGCUGGGCGCCGGUGAGAAAAGGUGACCUACGAUUUGGAUGUAUGCACCGAGGAUCGACUGAAAGAGGGACCGACCGAUCGACCUUCCUUCCUCCCUCUUUCCUCUGUUCUCCCUCACCUUCUCUCUCUCUCUUCUCCAUCUUGAGACAGGAGAUGUUCACGAACAAGUUGAAUCAGACGUGAUAACAAACUGUUCCUCACUUUGUCUUCACAGUUAAUGGAUGACGGUCAAAAGAAAGAAAAUGGAAACUAACACGACCAAUGAGAGAAAAGAAGAAAAGGUUAGAAAACAAAAGCUCUUGGAUCCAGCAGGGUGGGAGCAGCAGCUGAACGGGCAGCACUCAGAUCAAGCAACACUUUUGUUUCCAUCAGCACCGCCUGAAAAUCCAGAAAGUCAAACAGGUUUAAGUGAGACACAUCCACACCCCCUGCACUCAGAACCAGUCAGAGUGGCCUAAUCCUGGGGCAAAGUAAACAGGGUGUGACCUGUGAUUGCUCAAGUAUGAAUGAAAUCUUUUCUUAUUGAAUGUGAAGUUAUCAUUUUUGAAGAAAACUACAUUUCUCAAAAUCUAAAGUCAUUUCUUUCCACCACAAACUCAGAAAACAAUUAUCUCAGUUUCAAAAAUUAGAAAAUCAAGGUAAACCCUAAAUACAUUUGGCAAGUUUGCACAGGUACAGGUGGAAAACAAAUUGCAAAAACAAGCAAAAAAGGUGGAGCAAGGAAAGGAAAAAAGCCCAGUCAAGUUCCAACAAGCACAGCAGGAAUAAUCUCAGUUAAAAAAAAAAACAUCUAUAGCAAUGAACCAACCAGUUUAUGUCAGUAAAUGCAGGGAAAUUAUGCUUCCGCUUAAGUACACCUCCAAGAACCAGUUUUAAACCACCUUUUAGACUGCGUCAGCAUAUUUGAGACUCUUUAAAGCUGCAGAAAGAGUGAGUGUGAGUCAUGAUUAAACAAUGCAGGUAGAUAAAUUGUAUUCCAGCUCUUAAGUAGCUUCUGGAACAUAAGGCGAAAAAACACUACCCCGGCCUAAUGUGACCUAAGGUGACAUCGCUGAUUAUGGAGUUUGUUUGUUUGUUUGUUUUAUUUCUUGUUAGUAAAACUUUGUUAUUUUAAGACAUUCUAUCAGCUAUUGAUAGAGUAAAACUGGGUUAAAUCUCAUACUAAUUCUCUGAUUAUCAAACCAAUUCUUUAGGGACCCCAUAAAUGAACUUUGGAUCCUGAAUUAGGGAAGAGUUUUGAAUUCCAGAAUACCAAAUCUGAGUUCUUUAUCUUUCAACCACAAAAAAAUAAAAACCUUGUAUGUCUCCAGAAUUUUAAAAUCUAUAUUGAAGACUUAGGACAUGAAAAACAAUGGGAAGACCACUUAAAAAAAACAGAGAAGUUCAGCUUUCUUGGAAAAACAGCACUAAAUCCCCUUUAACAUUGAAAACAUGCGCUGGGUAGAUCUCUGCCCUACAGGAUUAAGUAUUUUCUACAAAAUUUGUAAAAAUGUCUUGACAAGAAAUGAUCCGAAGGGUUUUUUUUGAGUCUGUACCGAUGCUUCUGUGUCUGGAUUUAAGGUUAAUGAUUGCUUACACAGUCAACCACCAGUUUAUAAGGUACAGCGAGGAAACACUAACACACUCUGAUGCAGUUCGAAUUCAUUUCCCAAAAAUAUCUUAUGAGGACUGUAAAAACUUUGAUAUUUGUAAUAAAAAUUGUUAAAUGGAAAAAAGUGAUAUUGUGCUAUACUGAUGGAUGGUUCUGUUUAUUGAUGUCCAUAGGGUGGACACAAUAAUGGAAACAUAUUUCAGUAUAAUGCAACACAAUACAGGAUAAAGCUGAAUCUAAACCUCUCUAAAACCAAUCUUUCAUUUUAAACCAUUUUAAACCUUCAGUCACUUUUUGUUGUACUGAUUUUAUUUACUGAUUUAUUGUAGGACUGUUGUAUCAUAAUACCAAGGAUUAUUAAUUAAUUUUAAUUUUGAAGGUUAGUGGCAAGGUUUGCAGAGAGACACCUUUAGAAACUGGCUGAAUAAAAAAAUAUGUCUAAAUCUUCAUCAUACUUGAUGUUAACCAGAUCCUACCCAGUAUUCUUUUAAAGGAAAAUAUUAGACAAUCUGGGAGCCUAAAUUAACAUAUAUAUGUACUUACUGGAGACCUCAAAUAUGAACUAUUUAGAAAUUCUACUGCAGGGUCAGCACCUAACUCAGAGGUUAUUGUGCCUUGGCGCACACUUGGUGCCAGGUGGCUUGCUGUCCUGUGCGUCAUUUUGAAAAUUCCUCACAGCAGAUACAGUAAGAGCUGGUGAAGUGGCAAAAUGGCAUUUUGAGAUAUCAUACUGAUGUUGUAAAUGUCUGAAAUGUCAAGCAGCAGAUUAAAUGUAAAAAGUUGUGUAAUCUGAAUGUAAAUUUGAAACUGCUUUUAAUGCAGAUGUAAAACUGCUAAUGCCAAACUUAAAAAAAUACAUUUUAUUUUAACUCCUUUAAAUUAUGCUCACAUGGUGGUAUUGCUUUCUAAUUUACUAGAUUCUGUGUGCGUGUGUGUGUGUGUGUGUGUGUGUGUGUGUGUGUGUGUGUGUGUGUGUGUGUGCAAAAAUUCUGUUUCUGAUCACUUUCGUAUAUAGCUACUAAAUGUAAAAUUGUGCACAGUGUGUGUAAGAAUGACUUCAUGCACAUGAAUAUUAAUGCCUUCAAAAACGUGAGUGUCAAUAGUUGUCCGUGUGUGUGUAGGAAAUUGUGUUUGUCUAAAUGUCUUUCUGAGCACCUACGUAGAUAUAUUCCAAGUGUGUGCAACAUAAUACACAUUAACCCACUCGUUCCCACAGACAUGGACAUGAAAAAGUAACACUUCUAAUAAAAAUGUUAAUGUAGAAUUGCAGGAAGAUACCUAGACAUACACACACAUGCACACACACUUCUAACAGAUGGAAAUGGUGUGUGUGGAAAUGAAGUGGUGUGUGUGUGUGUGUGUGUGAAAUAGACAAAGCUGAGAGAGACAAAUAUUUAAACAUAUAACAGUAAUAAAUAUAUAAUAUUAUAUUAAUUAAACACUAACUUUACCUGUGUGUGGGACUAUGAGGCGUUCAUCUAUGAACAAAACUGUGACAUGUAUGACACAUAAAUGUGAAGCUUAUUUUAAGGUUAUGGUAAAAACUAGUUUGUGGUGCCAUAGUGUCAAGGUGGACGGUGGUUUUAGGGUGUAAGUGGGUAAAAUGUGAUCAGCUUAGCCUCUGAAAAUAUGUCAGAAUGAGCGUGUAGCUGUGUGGUGAGGAGAGACUGGCUGAAAGUUAAACAUGAGCAAUGCUUUGUGGUUUGGAUUUUUUUAAAGGCAAAAUUGAAACUGUAAACAUGCAGAAAGAUCCCCAGACAUAGACACACGCAUGCCUAACGGCUCAAGUCUGUGUGCGUGUGUGUGUGUGCGUGUGUGUGUGUGUGUGUAACCACAGCAGAAAAACCUUAGAUAGGCAAAUAUUCAAACUUACAACGUUAUAUUUAAUAAUCCUUGGGUACAACUUUACAAUUUAGAAAACACUAGUUUUAGCUGUGUGUUGCACUACGAGGCAUUUCUGAACAUUGCUGAACAAAACUGAGACGUGUGAUGCAUAAAUGUGAAGCUUAUUUUAAGGUGGUUUGUGGUGCUGUAGUGUCAAAGUGACUGUAGUUUUGGGGUGUGCAUAAGUAAAAUCUGGUAAAAAUGUGUGAGAAAGAGUGUGUGACAUGUGUGAAUGUGUAGCUUAUUUUUCCUCUUUUUUGAUAUCUGAGAGAAAACUAUUUUAUGACAAACACUUUUUACAGAGCUUUGGGUAGAAAUUAGCUGCUGUUCAGUUCAUUUUAAUGUGUUUGUAAUGAAGGAGAGUCAUUAUUAUCCGGGGUGAUUUUUGCAUGUGUGUGUGUGUGUGUGUGUGUGUGUGUGUGUGUGUGUGUGUGUGUGUGUGUGUGGUAAAUUAGCAGUAUAUAUGUUCAGGGAUGCUUUUUGUAGUUUAAAAGCUAUAUGUUUCAGGAGGUGCAGAGUGUGAUGCUGUGAGUGUGUGUGUGUGUGUGCAUAUGUGAGAGUGGGAGUGCAGACACUGUACGUCUAUGUGUCUCCAUGUUGUGGACAUGCAGGAUUCAGAGUUGUGUGUGUUUCUGUGUUCAGUUUCAAAAUGGACAUUUUUUUCUUUUCUUUUGGCUGUAAUAGUAAGACUUUGAUUCGAUGGUACAGACAGGAAUGAAUAUUAAAUGUGGAAUGUUUGGAUUCCUUCUUAUAAAUAUGUUUGCUUGCCCAUGCGAUUGUGUGUGUGUGUGUGUGUGUGUGUGUGUGUGUGUGUGUGCACGCGCGCGUGU